CUAGGAAGCUUAACUUUUGUGGUGAAUGUUGUCUGGUUCAAGGCCUGGCCACCACAUCUCUUGGUGGUGAAUAUGUCCUCGGACCAGGCUUCAUUCCCCUCAAUUAAUGCUUCCAUACAUGCAUGAGUUCUUCAGCUAUAUAUAUAUUGCUUGAUUGAUCAUCAUCAAUUUCAAGAUAUGGAGGUGAUGUGUAGUGUUUUCUUUUUUCUUUUAUUUGAUUUUGGUAAUUUAUCUGGUUUUCUCUAAUCGGAUUCAAUGUUUUAGUAAAUUUCACAUAGAUCAAGGUUGUUGACUAACUAGUAGCAGAUUGGUGUAAUGAUGAUCCAUUUUGACUGUCUUGAGAUCACAUGGGUAGACACAUAAAUUUCUAUCAUUACUUCUUGUUAUAAGUAUGAAAUAUCCAAAUUACUAUUCAAUUAUUACUUAUGUUUUUCAACUUAGGUUAUCAUGGGGCUAUGAGAUUUUGUCAGUUCUCCUCUUUUUCUCCCUUUUCCAAUUAACCUUUUUGUGUUUUAUCAUCAUUGGAUACAUGGAUUUUCACAUGUUCAAAUGUUGUUUCAAAUGAAAUGGGUGUGUGUCUGCAACUCUCUUCUCGAGCAGUAGCUAGGGUUAGUCUCUCUCUCUCUCUCUCCAUAUAUACCAAUAUAUUAUUCUUUUUAUGUUAUCUUUUCAGCCUUCUCCCUUUUUUUUAAUUAGGUUUAGUGCAGUAAUGGCAGGCAUGUGAUGAUCAACUUUCUUCACUCUUGCAGAGAGGUUCUAAAAGAAACGAUAAAAGAAAUUUUGUCAAAAACUUAGCCUGCAGAACUUGAAAGAAUAAAACCCUUUUGAAGACCAAGGCAUGCAUUCUCUUUUUUUAUAUGUUAUUUCUUGAUGGGGGUAACUGGAUCUGCAGAGUUAUGUAGAUAGAUUACAGAUAUAUCGCUGCUCUAUUACCUUUACCAAUGCUUAAUUUCCAGUUCAUUAUAUAUUUAUUCUAAACUCAACAUCAUAGAAUAUAUCCAUUGACAUUUUAGUGGAAGACAAGCUAGCAGCUGCACUGAAGAUUUGAAGCUGAGUAUAGCAUGCAGUGGAUAUAUUCUCUAGUAUUUGAUUCCCAUGGCCACACUUUCUUUACUAAAAGAGAGGACUUGAACUACAAAUGGCAUGGUACACCUUUCAAAUCCCUACGAAGGCAGCAUGAAGAAGCUCUGUAGCAAAUCUUGUUUAAUUGUGUUUUGUUUCUUGUGAAAUAGACAAAUGAGAAAGCACUGGGAUCUAACUCUAGAAUAUAAUGAUGUCUACACAUUAUCGUGGAAGAUUUUGAUAUCUUUGAUCAUCAGUUACAACUAGAGUUAUUGAUUUGUUCUGUGCACUCUAGGGUGAAAACAGUUGCAUGGAAAAGGAAAGGUAGUCAUGGAAAUUCAAGCCAUGUCAUGCAACAUUUACUUUCUUUCA